AGUUGGGUAGAAAGAAAAAAAAAUCGUACAAUAUCGUCGGCCCGUCCGUUCGCCGCCACGGCCAUGAGGCGAUGCGUCGCCCGGCUGCACCCGGAGGAGCAGCGCCAGCGAUGUCGCCACACAUCGGAGGGAGCCAGAUCUUCCCAUCACCGCCGCCUACAUCCCCAUCGCCGCAUCGCCACCACCCGCACCCUCCCUCGGGUUCAGCUCCCUCCUCUCCCUCCUUGGGCGGCUAGCGACCUGAAGAAGAAGUUGGCGUCCUCAUCUCCUUCAUGAGGCGGCUGGUCACGCGGACGAGCACCUCGCCCUCGAGGUGGUUGCCAAUGCGGUGGAGGAUCUCGGCAUCCUUCUUUCCCUCCAGGACGACUGGACGAGAGAAGUUGUAUCUCGCUGGCGGUCCACAGCACACCGUGUCGGCCAGGUCGGUGUUCCCGUACCCUUCCGCGGUAGCCAGGGUGAAGGAAAUCAGACUCUCACUGCCCACAUACGGCCUUCUCAAGUUAGAUUUGUUUCAGAGGUCAGGGUGAGGAGUGGAUGCAUCGCUUGGCGCGAUUCCCAUCUCUCCGAAUUCAUAUGGAUGCAUAUAUGCAUAUUAUAAGCCUGCACUAUCCCUCGCUGCUGUUUGCGUUUCGUUGCUCCUUCUCCUCAUGAAGGCAUCUGUUGUUGUUAUUGCUGUGGUGGUACAUAGGUGACAUGUCAUAUUCUUUCACCCGUGCUUAACUAGAGAACCAAAACAACCAACUGCUUGGUAUGCAAAUAAAGAAUUGCCAGGUUAACUAAGAAAUUAUGUUUCUAUUUUUUCUAACUAGAUUUCAUUAGCUUAGUCUGUACCUAUAUACAUUUUAAUUUUUCCUAGAAGUAUUUUGCUCCUUAAUUGGACCAUGGUAUGAUCAAUCUACACCAGAAUAAAUUUUGUUUGUUUGCUCUUUUGUAUGCCAGCAGUGAUUGCACAAAAGUUCCUCUAGGAAACUGACUGUUCAUUCCAAAACUUGGUUGAUUAAGUAAAUAUGUUGAUCCCUUAGCUUAACAUCGUUUUCAUUAUUAAUGUCCGUACCAGGUAGUCAUGCUUGAAAUGCACAAUGAUUUAACAUGUGAUACUCAUGUGCCUUUAUUCUGGUGUAGUUCCAACAGACAACCUAGGUGAUGGAAGCAGAAUGUACCCAUGAGGAGUGUCAAAAGUGUUCCGUAAUAUAUUCAGAUGUUACUCUCCCGAGUGUCGCUACCAGCAGCAGAGAAGAUUGUAAAAAAAAGAUGAGUGCAGGCUUAAGAGUGGUCAGCGCUUCAUAAAAAACUGACAUGCAUUUUGUUCGCAUCAGAAUUUAGUUAUGUUACCAACUCUUAUUCUUCAGUUUAUCAUCUUCCACUAAAUGCCAUUCUGUUCAUGACUUUUAUAGUAAGGAUUGUCUAUGAUUUGGCAAAAUACAAGCUCUCUUUAAAAUGAUAUCAUUAUAUGGCAUAUGGCCAGCUGUCUGGUUAUGUUUUACUAUGCUUACUUAUAUAAGUAUUUGGAUCAUGCGCCUCUUUAGGAACUUAUCUCAUUCACAAUGUUGAGUUUGGUAGCACAAAAAAUAGAAUUUUGAGGUGAGCCUACAAGAAACAUUGGAAAUAGAAAUUAGUGUAUUUUCUUUCUCUACUUAUUCUUGAUAAGUUACAUGUUAGCCAUGUCGAUGAUCUCACAAAGGGAGAGAUGUAAAAAAAUGGCACCAUAUUAAACCCUUUCUGAUUAUACAUGUAUGUUCUGUGCAAUUUAUUUUGAUCCUUUAGUUAAGAGAGUGUGAUGUUAUGGUCCUACAAAUGAUAGAUGAAAUGGUGGCUUAAUAAAUCUUUCCUCAAACAUGUAGGUGCAUAGGGGCACUAUGAAGUGUUCUUAACCAUAAAUGAAACAUGUCUUUUAGCAUAUGGAAGGGCAACAUGCAUGAUUAUAUAUGAAUGGGGUUGCAGGCUCUAUCUCAGUGUGGUCAUUAUCAGUGGAGGUAGUGUUGUCAUUAUCAGUGGAGAUAACUCCACCAUUCACUUAAAUACGCUAGCUCUUCUCUCUGAAUUAUUUUCCAAGGAUUUUUUUAAUAUUCACUUUACCAAUGAAGAUCCACACUUAAAAACUCACAGGUAUGUAACUGUGAGCAUGCUAUUUAUUUCAACUUAAUGUUCUUACUCUCAGCUAGAUUUACAAAUUGAAGCUGGAGCCUUAAGCAAAACUCACUUUAGUUAUAUUUAGGUGGAGCCUUUGUUGGUGAGAUUGCAGAUUGUUUGUUGAAUUGCUUCUUGGGGUAAGCCAAAGUGCAGAUGUUUCUAUCCAUGUUUCAAGUGGAAAAUCUGAUGAAGAUGCUUUGAAGGGAAGUCAUGUAUGCUUUGCUUGCUUAACCUGCAAACCCGAAAGAUAAAUUGCUUCGACAUGGUGAUGUAUAAAGUUAGCUUCUGCUCCAAUAGCAAAUGAUCGGCCUAUGGAUACCAUGGAGAGGCAAGUGUGCGAUGCCCUUUUCUACUUCGGGAGUUCUGGAUAGGCAUUUAUAUUUUCCUCCUCAAGAUAAAUGAAAAAAGAUAAUGGUCCUUCAAAUUCUUCCUAUUAUUUUUCGAGAACAUAUUUAUGGCAAUGUUGUAUGUUUUAGAAAUAUUUGAAAUUCAGUGGACAACUUGAAUACAGGUUCAAGUUGUGAUCUGCUGGAACCAGGUGAAAGCUGAUUUUUCUUCUUAUAUUAAGUAGAACUGAAUAUUUUUCUGUGUUUAUCUUUCAGUUGACAAACCUGACGAAGGUUUUUGUAUUCGGAAUGUUUUUUGUUCAGAUGAUUCAUAUAUGUACCUAAGCUGUUUCCCCGCUGUUUCAGCAUGUUACUGUGGUUCUGCUGCACAUGAAUAUGAAGCUUUUUAAUUCUACGGUCUCUCCUGAAGAGCGGCAGGAUCUAGCGGUGUUUGCACAGUGGGUUCUCAAUGAACGGAAUUGUACUAAUGACUCCAAAAGGGGGGAAGCUACCCCUUCUUAGAUUUUAUACCACCUAAUAUGAUAUUGUAACCUGAUUCUCGCCAUGUUUCUACUAUUGUUAAUGCAAUAUAUGAUUAAUUUUCUGGAAACUAUUCCGAUCCAUCUUAUCUGGCACAGCGUGCUAUAGGUUAUCCUACUAAUAAUGUAGCCAAUGCCAUAAAUGGUGUGGUUUUCUCUAGAAAUUGACAAGAUAUAUGCUUAAUGGAGAUUAAGUACUGUACCAUUGUAUUUGAGAUUUUGAAUGAUCUUCUAUGACAUCUUCCUUGAUGGAGAUUCAGCACUGUACUGUAUUUGAGAUUCUGAACCAUCUGCUUGCUACCGUUCAAAUAACGUUUUCCUUUCCUAGAAGGUGAUCUGAUUCUAACUUUGACCUCAAGCUGCUCCCUCCCUUGACCGGUGAAUUGUUAUUCAUAUAGGGUUCACAAGUACUCCCUCCGGUCGAUUUUAAUCGGCGCGGGGUGGAGCAACGUCAAUUAAAAGCGACCAGAGGUAGUAAUUUGUUCAACUAUAAUACAGUAGCCAGUGCAUGAGACAGAGAUAAGGCAUCACUGCAUCAGCUACAGUUUUUGUGUGCCGUACAGACGAAUUAAAGGGACCGUGUUUCAAAGUAUCACUCCACUGUGUUCAACUACAGGCUGAUUUCAAGAUGGUUUUUGCCUGCAACAGGACAGGCCAAGCACUAUAUCAGAUCUGUUAGAAAAUAGAGCGCCCUGUCGGAACAUUAUGUGGUCAUGUAUUGGUUCAGGCAAACUAAUUACUAAAAUGGUGCCAUCUACAAAGUCUGCAUCGCUUUUUCGAGAUCUUUUUCAGCUCCACCAACCUAGAUAGGUGCUUAUCCUUCCGCUCUAUGCCAGUGCCUUAUGCUGAAGCCUUUUGUUAUAACAGUACAGCAGUGGUGAGGUUUUUUUUUAUUGCCAGAGCUAAAAUUGCAGUCUCUUAUAUUGAUAGUUAGUUCUAAAGCGUUUGUGCAGCCGGUAGUCGGAACUGGAGUCUUUUGGAAUGACACGUUGUUUCUGUACACAUGUGUGCUCUGCAAUCAGUCUGUGUUUCUCCACCAUCUCCUGUUUAAACCGUACCCCAACUCUUUAU